rnacentral:rRNA from 1 species
AAGACCUUGCGCUUUUGGAGCGGCCGAUGCCUGAUUAGCUAGUUGGUGGGGUAAUGGCCUACCAAAGCUUCGAUCAGUAGCUGGUCUGAGAGGACGGCCAGCCACACUGGGACUGAGACACGGCCCAGACUCCUACGGGAGGCAGCAGUGGGGAAUUUUGGACAAUGGGCGCAAGCCUGAUCCAGCCAUGCCGCGUGAGUGAAGAAGGCCUUCGGGUUGUAAAGCUCUUUCAGCCGGGAAGAUAAGGUUGCGAUUAAUAAUCGCAAUUUAUGACGGUACCGGAAGAAGAAGCACCGGCUAACUACGUGCCAGCAGCCGCGGUAAUACGUAGGGUGCGGGCGUUAAUCGGAAUUACUGGGCGUAAAGGGUGCGCAGGCGGUUUUGUAAGUCAGAUGUGAAAUCCCCGGGCUUAACCUGGGAACU